CGUAGGCCAGUGGCUACAGCUCUGAUUAGACCCCUAGCCUGGGAACCUCCAUAUGCUGCGGGUGCAGCCCUGAAAAGAUGAAAAAAAUGACAGAGUUUAGCAGACAGGGGAAUAUCUUCAACAAUGAAUGAAAUGAGAACCAUGAAAAAAAAUUGAGCUUAGGAAAGGGUUGUGUCUCUUAAAAAUACACCACUUGUCAUAGCAGGAAAAUGUUGAUCUCUGAAUGCCUCUUUGCAGGUGUGUGCUCUGGAAGAAUAUCGGCCAGGCUAAGUGGCAGAGGAGCAGAGCCAAAAGAAUCGGGUUAACACAGAGGCCUGCUGUGGCAUCACAGUUUGACCUUGGAGGAAACUUUGGGGCAGAAUGGCUUUCCCACUCAGGGAAAAAGCUCCAGUGUCUAAAAAGGCAAUGAUUCUGUUGAGGACUGGCUCUGUAAUUUGCCAAAAUCUACACAAUUUAUUCAGGACUGGCGACAUAAUUUGCACAUCACUUUAUAUUUUAAAAUACUUAAAAUAUUACCCCAAGCACUGGUGCCAAUUAGAAGAGGGGCCCCUGCUGGACUUCGGGGGAGCCUUGGGAUUCUCACACAAUCCAGUUUGAAAACCAUUUAUCCCCUAAUUUUGCAUGAAAGGAAACUAAGGCCUAGAGAAACAAUUUACCUGUAAUUAGAACAAGUUAUUGAUAGAUGAAAUUGAUAUAAGAAUGAACAUUUAUGUCCAUCCAGUUACUAAGAGCCAACUAAAAACCUUCCACUUUUGGUUUCUCUAUAUCUAAAAGGGGGAUUAAAAUAAUACCUACCUCAUUGGCCGUGGUGUAAGGAUUGCCCAAGAAAAUGAUCUCAUCUAGUCUCUUGACUGUAAAUGACUUGUACAUCGCUUACUCCGGAGUGUGUUCCUACAGCCUAAACGUGAACUUGAACUGAACAGAAUUGAAUAUCGAACUCCUUGCUUAACAUUUCCCCUUGAAAGCCAGAUAGCCACCUCCAACGUAACAUGUUCAAAACUGAGCCCCCCGUCUUCCCACUCAAGCCUCCCCCACCCUCUGUGCCACGUCAGUGAUGGCACCCACGCUUUCUGUUGGUCUGGCCAAAACCCUGGGACUGUCCAUGCCUUCUGUCUUUCUCUCACAUUCCACAUCCAAGACCUGAGAAGAGACUCUGGGCUUUGCCUUCAAAAUACAUGCAGAAUCCCACCUUUUCUCUCCACUGCUACCAUCCUGGUCCAGUGCUGACUGGUCUCCCUUCUUUUCCUUUUUGCCCCCUUUCAUUCUGGUCUCACCAAAGCGCCUGAGGGACAUGUUAAAACACAGGCCAGCACCUGUCACGCCUCUCCUCAGUACCUCCCGGGGCGCCAGGGUUCUCUCCGAGUAAAGCCAAGGUCCUAAGCAUGGCCUUCAGGUCCUGUGUGAUACGGCUGUUGUCUCCUGACUCUUCCCCCCACCCUCUCCCUUGCCACACGGCUCCCACUCUAGAGGCUUCUGUAUGGUUCCCCGAAUGCUUCCUCCAGGCUCCAUCAAGGCUGCUCCUUCACCUCCUUCAGUCUUUGCCCAAAUAUCACCAUCUCAGGGAAACCUAAAUCCUGUCUUCCCUUUCUCAAACUGCGCAGUCACCACAAACUUCCUUUUCUCUUUUUCUGCUUUAUUUUCCUCCAUAGUGAAACAUGAUAGAAUUUAUUUUGCUUAUUUCCUGUAUUGUCUCUCCUCACGAUCUAGAAUCUAAGUGCCAUGAGGAUGCGGCUGAUUCCUCAAGUAUGGAUCAGUACUUAUCUCCGGAGCCUGGAAAAGUGUCUAACACUGAGUAAGCUUUCAAUAAAUAUUUUUUGAAUGAAUCAUGUGCAUAAUGCUUUUUACAGCACAGAAUGUGCUUAUUAAAUAUUGUGAAUGUCUGUA